rnacentral:lncRNA from 1 species
GUGGCGGUCUGUCAACGUCAGGGACAGGUCAAGAAGGUGGAGGUCUGUCAGGGACAGUCAAGAAGGUGGAGGUCUGUCAGGGACAGGUCAAGAAGGUGGAGGUCUGUCAGGGGCAGGUCAAGGAGGUGGAGUUCUGUCAGGGUCAGAGGCAGGUCAAGGAGGUGGAGUUCUGUCCGGGUCGAGGCAGGUCAAGAAGUGGUGGGCUCUGUCAGGGCCAGAGGCAGGUCAAGGAGGUGGAGUUCUGUCGGCCAGAGGACAGGUCAGGAGGAGGUGGAGGUCUGCCGGGUGGUGGGCAGGUCAAGGAGGUGGAGUUCUGUCAGGGUCAGAGGCAGGUCAAGAAGGUGGAGCUCUGUCAGGGCCAGAGGCAGGUCAAGGAGUGGGUGGAGGCUGCCGGUGGUCAGGGGCAGGUCAGGAGGUGGAGGUCUGUCAGGGUCAGGGUCAGAGGCAGGUCAAGGAGGUGGAGGUCUGACAGUAUGUCAGGGCCAGAGGCUGAUGUAGUUUACACCCGUGGAUUGGUACACUUCACCCGGCAGGAUUUCCUGUGUCUCUCAAUCCAAUCCCCAAAGUCCCAACGCAGUAGUCACAAAUAAUGAAACAGCUGAACAGUCAGUCAUUCCUUACUCUGCUACCACCUUGUGGCGCUUUCAUGUAUUUACUAAGUGAAGUGAAAACAGAAAUGCCCAGAGUCGUGUUCUUAUCCUGUAUGGGGACACACAGAAAGGCCCGAGUCGUGUUUCUAAUCCUGGUAUG